UACAUUAUCCAGGAAAAUGUUACUCCAGACAUUGGCGAAGCACUUGAUUCACUUAUGAAGCCUCAUCUUAAAGCAGUGCUGCCGGGAGGUGAUGUUCUUGGCGGAUAGACAAAGAAACAUAAUACAGUUGUGGAACUCAAGCUUCCAACAUGGAGGAAUCUGAAAAAUGAAAACUGACAAAAUGAAUCCUUUUCAGUCUUCUGAUUUUCUGAAAUGCUUUUUUAUCAUCUUUUUAUAGAGAUUUACAUAUUGUU